rnacentral:rRNA from 1 species
CCUACGGGUGGCAGCAGUGAGGAAUAUUGGUCAAUGGCCGGGAGGCUGAACCAGCCAAGUCGCGUGAGGGAAGACGGCCCUACGGGUUGUAAACCUCGUUUGCCAGGGAGCAAGGUGCAGGUCGGGACCUGCUGUGAGUGUACCUGAAGAAAAAGCAUCGGCUAACUCCGUGCCAGCAGCCGCGGCAAUACGGAGGAUGGGAGCGUUAGCCGGAUUUAUUGGGUUUAAAGGGUGGGCAGGCGGAGGCACAAGUCAGCGGUAAAAUCGCGGGGCUCAACCCCGCUCCGCCGUUGAAACUGGGUACCUUGAGUGCGCGAAGGGUAGGCGGAAUGCGUGGUGUAGCGGUGAAAUGCAUAGAUAUCACGCAGAACUCCGAUGGCGAAGGCGGCCUACUGGCGCGCAACUGACGCUCAUGCACGAAAGCGUGGGUAUCGAACAGGAUUAGAUACCCCGGUAGUC